CUGACCGUCGUCCUGGCUGCGGCUUCCGCCGCUCCCCAGCAGCAGCAGCCGCCCGUCGCCAUCAUCCUGGACGACCGAUCUGCGCCCGAGAACGGCGCCUACUCCUUCCAGUUCCAGGCAGAGAACGGCAUCAGGCAGAGCGAGGCUGGGACGCCAGGGUCAGAGGGACAGUCUAACGUUCAGGGAGUGUUCAGCUUUCCACUAGACGACGGAAGUGUUGCCGAAGUCCGGUACCAAGCUGACGAGAACGGCUUCCAGGUCCAGUCCCCUUUGCUGCCCGUCGCCCCCGAGUUCCCUCACCCCAUCCCGCAGUUCGUCCUCGACCAGAUCGCCUUCGCCGAGGAGCAGGAUCGCCUCGAAGCUCAACGUCAACUUUUACAAUGAAGCGAGAGAAUACAAAGUUUUUGACAUUUUUGUAAAUACAUUAAAGGCGGUUACUGUAAUAAGGGUGAGUCAGCUAUUCUAUAUAAAAUAAUCGAUAUACAAA